UCACCUUCUCGGAACACGCGAGGCUUGACCUUCUUGUCGAAUGCUUUCUUCAUUCUUUGCUGAUAUAACUGACCAUGGCACAUGGCAGUUAAUCGUUUCUCUUCGAUCAAAUUCAGUUGGUCAUAACGACUCUGAAUCCAUUCAGCAUCAGUCAACUAGGGACUUGAGGGUAUAAUUUUUCUCUUUUUCCUUUGGAAAAAUUUUGGAAAUUUUUUUCUGGUUUUUGAUUUUUUUUUUCUUUUUUCACCCUCUUUUUCUCUUUUUUUUUCGAUUGAUUUUUUUUGAUUUUUUUUCUUUUU
rnacentral:lncRNA from 1 species